GGGACAUCCCUGGGGACUGAAAUUGUUUGUUUAUGCAUGGGACAUGUACAACAUGGACGGCAGCAGUGCAGACUUCCCCAUGCUGCCUUACCACUGUUCCUUAGCCUUGACCUAGACUCGAGUGAUGACAUCUUGAGGUAAAAAAGUUGUUCAGUUUUACCCACCUAACACUCUUCUUUCAACUGUC
rnacentral:sRNA from 1 species